rnacentral:rRNA from 1 species
UACGUAGGGUGCGAGCGUUGUCCGGAAUUAUUGGGCGUAAAGAGCUCGUAGGCGGCUUGUCGCGUCGGAUGUGAAAGCCCGGGGCUUAACCGAGGAACUGCCCUCCAAACUGCUUCGCUUGAGACCGGGAGAGGUGAGUGGAAUUCCCAGUGUAGCGGUGAAAUGCGUAGAUAUCUGGAGGAACACCGGUGGCGAAGGCGGCAUCCUGGACCAAUUCUGACGCUGAGGAGCGAAAGCCAGGGGAGCAAACAGG